rnacentral:misc_RNA from 1 species
GAAAUGCGAUACUUGGUGUGAAUUGCAGAAUUCAGUGAAUCAUCGAAUCUUUGAACGCACAUUGCGCCCCUUGGUAUUCCAUGGGGCAUGCCUGUUCGAGCGUCAUCUACACCCUCAAGCUCUGCUUGGUGAUGGGCGUCUGUCCCCGCCUCCGCGCGCGGACUCGCCCCAAAGUCAUUGGCAGCGGUCCUGUCCGCCUCUCGCGCAACACAAGUGUGCUUCUUGAGGCGUCGGGGUCCGCGUCCAUCAAGCCCUUUUACCCAUUUUGACCUCGGAUCAGGUAGGGAUACCCGCUGAACUUAA